rnacentral:lncRNA from 1 species
AACCACCAAUUCCAUAUAUUAGUUUAAAGGAAUAAUUACUUAUAUGCCCCUCAUAUGUUUGAAAAUAUUUAAAUUUUUUUAAAAUAUUUCUCAUAUGUUCCAUCGGUAUUAUAAAAUAUUUUCGCAGUUAUCUUCUAUUAAGUUAACUUAGACUAAACGUGAAUUAAAUAUUUACCACAGUUUAAAAAAAUUAAAAUGUCAAUUUUGCCCUUAACUUAAAGACAAAUAAAAAAUGUUGGUGACGGUAUAUUGAAAAAAAUUAAAAGUCAAAAUACUUUCUGUGUCCCUGGCUUUAAGGGCAAAUAAGAAAGUCAAUGAUGGUGGAAAGGUAUAUUUAAAAGGACAAAAUAAUAAUUUUACAGAGAUAAUAGAGUUAAUUAACAGAUUUUAACUCUAAGAAUAUAUUAGAAAUAGGUUAGAACGUAGAAAGGAUAUUUUCAAUAUUAGCCUUCUAAGAGAGAUAAAUCGAAAAGUCGAAAACUUUUUAAGAGUAUAUAAGCAAUUGCCCCUAGUUUAAAUUACUCCAAUGGACAUGAUUUAUAGAACUCAAGAGUUCAAUUAUGCUUCUUUUAAAAGUACAAAAUUUUAAUACUUAUAAAAUUUUUGUCAUUAGAUUUUUUUAAUUAUUUUUAUUUAUUAAAUUAUAUUAUUCAACGAACCAUUCACUCAAUUACAGAGAACCACUUUUAUUAUAACCGUACAUUUCUUAAUUUAAUAACCGAAAACCUAUAAGUAUUAAUGGCUUGAUACUUAAAAAGAUAUAAGAACUCAAUUAUUAUAUAUAUAGAGAGAGAAAGAGAUAUGAGCUGGAAUACUAUUAAUAGUAUUUGAAAUUUUUUAUUAUUAAUUAUUUAGCUGUUAGAUCUAUACUUUAAUCAUAUC